rnacentral:rRNA from 1 species
CUACGGGAGGCUGCAGUGGGGAAUAUUGGACAAUGGGGGAAACCCUGAUCCAGCAAUGCCGCGUGUGUGAAGAAGGCCUGCGGGUUGUAAAGCACUUUCGGUUGGGAGGACUGCUUCUAGCACUAAUAUUGUUGGAAGUUGACGUUACCUUCAGAAGAAGCACCGGCUAACUCCGUGCCAGCAGCCGCGGUAAUACGGAGGGUGAAGGGUUAAUCGGAAUUACUGGGCGUAAAGCGCGCGUAGGCGGCUAGAUCAGUCGGGUGUGAAAGCCCCGGGCUUAACCUGGGAACUGCAUCCGAUACUGUCUAGCUUGAGUACAGGAGAGGAGAGUGGAAUUCCACAUGUAGCGGUGACAUGCGUAGAUAUGUGGAGGAACACCAAUGGCGAAGGCAGCUCUCUGGCCUGAUACUGACGCUGAGGUGCGAAAGCGUGGGGAGCAAACAGGAUUAGAUACCCCUGUAGUC